GAUGCCCAAAUCGAGUCGCGCGGUCUCGAGCGAUGCGACGGGA
rnacentral:misc_RNA from 1 species